rnacentral:tRNA from 1 species
CCCGUUGUAGUCCAAUGGUUAGGACAUGUGACUCAGUCUCACAAGAUCCUGGUUCAACUCCAGGCAAUGGGU